UCGUAUUUUUUUUAUAUUUUUUUAUUUAUCAGAUUUGGUCUUUUAUUUUUUAUUGCUAUUUAUUUAUUUUUAAAUAAUUUAUAAAGUUGGAUUUGUUUUUAAUUUUAUUAUCUUUUAAUUUUUUUAUCUAUUAGAUUUGAUCUCUAUUUUUUUUACUUAUAAUUUAUGAAAUUAGAUUUUUUUUUUCAAUUCCAAGUUCUUUCAACUUUUAUAUCUAU
rnacentral:lncRNA from 1 species